AACGAACGCUGGCGGCAUGCCUAACACAUGCAAGUCGAACGAGACCUUCGGGUCUAGUGGCGCACGGGUGCGUAACGCGUGGGAACCUGCCCUUAGGUUCGGAAUAACUCCCCGAAAGGGGUGCUAAUACCGGAUAAUGUCUUCGGACCAAAGAUUUAUCGCCUUUGGAUGGGCCCGCGUUGGAUUAGCUAGUUGGUAGGGUAAAAGCCUACCAAGGCGACGAUCCAUAGCUGGUCUGAGAGGAUGAUCAGCCACACUGGGACUGAGACACGGCCCAGACUCCUACGGGAGGCAGCAGUGGGGAAUAUUGGACAAUGGGCGAAAGCCUGAUCCGGCAAUGCCGCGUGAGUGAUGGAGGCCUUAGGGUUGUAAAGCUCUUUUACCCGGGAUGAUAAUGACAGUACCGGGAGAAUAAGCUCCGGCUAACUCCGUG
rnacentral:rRNA from 1 species